CGCGCCUAACACAUGCAAGUCGAACGAAGCACAUCGACAGAAGUACUUGUACGGAAGAUGAUGUGACUUAGUGGCGGACGGGUGAGUAACACGUGAGCAACCUGCCUUUGUGAGGGGGAUAAUACUGGGAAACCGGUACUAAUACCGCAUAACAUAUGGAGAUGACAUCAUCACCAUAUCAAAGAUUUAUCGCACAAAGAUGGGCUCGCGCCUGAUUAGAUAGUUGGUGAGGUAACGGCCCACCAAGUCGACGAUCAGUAGCCGGACUGAGAGGUUGAUCGGCCACAUUGGGACUGAGACACGGCCCAGACUCCUACGGGAGGCAGCAGUGGGGGAUAUUGCACAAUGGAGGAAACUCUGAUGCAGCGACGCCGCGUGAGGGAAGACGGUUUUCGGAUUGUAAACCUCUGUCUUCAGGGAAGAAACAAAUGACGGUACCUGAAGAGGAAGCCACGGCUAACUACGUGCCAGCAGCCGCGGUAAUACGUAGGUGGCAAGCGUUGUCCGGAAUUACUGGGUGUAAAGGGAGCGUAGGCGGGUAGGUAAGUUGAAUGUUUAAUCUAUGGGCUCAACCCAUAGCUGCGUUCAAAACUGUUUAUCUUGAGUGGGGUAGAGGCAGAUGGAAUUCCUAGUGUAGCGGUGAAAUGCGUAGAUAUUAGGAGGAACACCAGUGGCGAAGGCGAUCUGCUGGGCCCUAACUGACGCUGAGGCUCGAAAGCGUGGGUAGCAAACAGGAUUAGAUACCCUGGUAGUCCACGCCGUAAACGAUGAUUACUAGGUGUGGGGGGACUGACCCCUUCCGUGCCGGAGUUAACACAAUAAGUAAUCCACCUGGGGAGUACGACCGCAAGGUUGAAACUCAAAGAAAUUGACGGGGGCCCGCACAAGCAGUGGAGUAUGUGGUUUAAUUCGAAGCAACGCGAAGAACCUUACCAGGUCUUGACAUCGAGUGAAGAACAUAGAGAUAUGUUCGUCCUUCGGGACACAAAGACAGGUGGUGCAUGGUUGUCGUCAGCUCGUGUCGUGAGAUGUUGGGUUAAGUCCCGCAACGAGCGCAACCCUUACCAUUAGUUGCUACAUUCAGUUGAGCACUCUAAUGGGACUGCCGUUGACAAAACGGAGGAAGGUGGGGACGACGUCAAAUCAUCAUGCCCCUUAUGACCUGGGCUACACACGUACUACAAUGGCAAUAAACAAUGGGCAGCAACACAGCGAUGUGAAGCGAAUCUCCAAACAUUGCCUCAGUUCGGAUUGUAGGCUGCAACUCGCCUACAUGAAGUCGGAAUUGCUAGUAAUCGUGGAUCAGAAUGCCACGGUGAAUACGUUCCCGGGCCUUGUACACACCGCCCGUCACACCAUGAGAGUCGGUAACACCCGAAGCCAGUAGCCUAACCGUAAGGAGGGCGCUGUCGAAGGUGGGAUUGAUGAUUGGGGUGAAGUCGUAACAAGGUAGC
rnacentral:rRNA from 1 species